CUCUAUGUGACCUAGAGUAGUGUCUAGGGGAUACAUGUGCUGUACAACUCUGCACAGUAUUCUAGCGCUAGCUAUGUAGGGGCUCAGGCAAGUACAGCAGAGACACAAGUGAAGAUCCGUGAUCCCUUCAGGAGAGGCUCAUCCCUGGCAUUGCUGCAGUUGGAUGAGCCUGGCUGCUCCUGCUGUGAAGCGCUGCCUACUCUCCUUCCCACUCUGAAGAGAGAUGGGUUUAGCACCAGACAAACUAUUACAAGAAGCUGUGCCAAUUAGUGUUACUAAAUCAUGGGUCUUUAGGAUUUGCUGUCUGUGCUACAGAGUUGAAGACUUGGGGAGUUCUGGCAGAAAAGACACCAGUGUUCAGGGAUAAAUAAAAUGACACAGUUGCAUGGGUUCAACUUUUAGGUUACCUUUGGAAAAUGCUGAACAUGAAGAUGAAACAGAAGAUGAAAGUCUCUUUCAUGUGAAGAUAUAAAAAGAAUGAGACAUGAAGACCUGGCAUGUGACUCAGUGACUUAACUUGAAUUUAAUAAGCAGGAACCCAACCUGUGUAGAAGGGUCAGUGUGCCAAGACAAGAAGCCACAGCUCUGCCAUUUCACAGUUCACAUUCUUGCAGCAUUACUACACUGGCUGUGAACAUAGGGAAUUAAUAUGAUCUCAUUCCAAACAACCAAGAUCAAUGGACCUGAGGAAUGUACUCUGCAGAUAAACAAAAUAAAGGCUGUAUAUAUCAUAGCUUGAACCCAGCCAUGGCACAGCACUGCCUGCAUAUGCCAUGUUGAGGAUGAAGAAGACACACAUGCUGCUGCUUCUGCUUCCUGACUUGUCAUGUCACACAACUGGUAUAACUGAAUAUGAAUGUGAUUGGUGGCUAAAAUACUGAUUUCUGCAGAAAUGGAAGUUAAAAACAGAGUCUCUCAGAAGAUGGGUGGGAAGGACACGUGGUGGCCCUGGGUCCAUUUGGGAAUUUCCCAUAUCCACACUGAUACUAGUGGUAGAGUUGAUGCUGGGAGUGAAAUCCAAGUGACUGGGUAUAGAAAGACAUAGGCUAGAGAACUGGGGCAUGCUUUUUACAUAUAUUUUAUCAUGUUCACAUACCAGUUCAGCCAAAAACAUACUGCAUCUUGGUCAGCUUAUCUCACUUAAUUACCCUCUCAUAGAUGCAAACCAAUGUCAUUUGGUUAUUCAGGUGGGUUAUUUAAUCAAAGGGCCAAAAUCCAAAUCUCAGUCUCUCCACUGAAUUAUGGGAAUAAUUGGGUUUAAUCUCAGACUGCAGAUGGCCCUCAUUUUUGCUUCAAAGUGUGAUUGAAGAGGGUCUAUUUUCCCUCUUCAGUUAGAAAGAAGUGGAUUAAAUUAUUUUUUCCAUGUAUGAGAGCCAAAAAUCUCCCUAUGCUUUAUGCCUCUGAAUGAACACAAAUUUAUGAAUCUCACCUACAUGUCAAAUAAAGCCUUAUUAGCAGACUGAUUUGAAAGCAGCAUUCAUAGCUCAUCAGAUUUAUGCUACACAAUGAAACAUUCUACAGUAGACUCCUUUUACAAUACAGUUAAGUCAUAAUUUCAAGUAAGAUUUUUUUUUUUCUUCCAAAUUAUUAGCAAUUAGUUUGUCAUCUGGCUGGUAAAACCAUUUGUCCAGAACUAUUUCCACCAGGAAACUGAGGGUUUAGAAAUUCCAUGUGCUUCCGCACUUCAGAAUGAUACCACAAAUAUU